rnacentral:rRNA from 1 species
UACGUAGGGGGCUAGCGUUGUCCGGAUUUAUUGGGCGUAAGGAGCGUGUAGGCGGCCAGGUAGGUCUGCUGUGAAAACUCGAGGCUCAACCUCGAGACGUCGGCGGAAACCAUCUGGUUAGAGUCCGGAAGAGGAGAGUGGAAUUCCUGGUGUAGCGGUGAAAUGCGCAGAUAUCAGGAAGAACACCCGUGGCGAAGGCGGCUCUCUGGGGCGGUACUGACGCUGAGACGCGAAAGCGUGGGGAGCGAACAGG